rnacentral:lncRNA from 1 species
UGGAGCAAUUGAAUUCAGGAGUUUUGAGCUUCAGUGAGCUGAGUCUGUGCUGAGCCUGACCACCAAUGUGGUCUGUAAGCUAGAAAAAGGAAGAAUUCCAGAAAUUGGGCCAUGUGGCUUUCCAUCAUACUUUUGAAGAACAAAAAUGGACCCUAACUAUGAGAAGAGAAUGGAGGUACCAAGGAGUGUCAUUGGCUCUUCAAGUUUCAUGGAGCAGGAGAGAAAGACUGGGGGAAAUCUGAUGCAAAGGGAAGAACUACCAGACCACAACUCUGGGCUUUCAUUGUCAUUGAGAGCAGUUGAUUAUUGAAGCCAAG